AAUUUCGAUACUCCACCGAGUAUCGAUCGACCACGUAUUCACAUAGAUAACUGAAUCUACACGUUCUUACAGUGAAAACCAUAACCGUAACUACCAAAAAUUACACAUGUUUAAUUUUUAAAAAGAGUAAUAUUUUAAGCUCCCGUAGAC
ensembl:ncRNA K09A9.10 ncRNA